AUACGAAGGUCCCAAUCGUUAUUCGGAAUCACUGGGCGUAAAGAGUACGUAGGCGGUUUGGUAAGUCAGGUGUGAAAUCCCGGAGCUCAACUCCGGAACUGCAUCCGAUACUGCCAGACUUGAGUAAUGGAGAGGCAGGUGGAAUUCUCGGUGUAGCAGUGAAAUGCGUGGAUAUCGAGAGGAAGACCAAUGGCGAAGGCAGCCUGCUGGACAUUUACUGACGCUGAGGUACGAAGGCUAGGGGAGCGAAAGGGAUUAGAAACCCUAGUAGUCC
rnacentral:rRNA from 1 species